rnacentral:lncRNA from 1 species
CUUAGGGCGUGUUUAGUUAGAGGUGUUAAAGUUUAAUAGGUAAUAUUUUUUAUUUUUGUUUUAUUUGACAAUUAUUGUCCAAUCAUGGAUUAAUUAGGUUUAAAAGAUUCGUCUUGAAAAUUAUUCUCUAGUUAUGUUUUUAGUUUCAUAUAUAGUCUAUAUUUAAUACUUCAUACAUGUAUCCAAAUAUUCGAUGUGACAAGAGUUGAAGUUUUAACUACGCCAACCAAACAGGGCCUACCUCAACGACGCUGAU